rnacentral:misc_RNA from 1 species
GCGGGAACUUUUCACCCAUGUAACUUUCUACCGUUACUCUCUCUAUGUUAGGGUGAGGCUCAAGACCUUCCAACACUUGCUCAUCAUUACUGUUGCUUUCUCUUCCAGCACUCCAUUCAAAUUUAAGGGCUUUUAAUUUCUUUUUCCCCUGUAUAUUUGACUUCUUGGCUUCUUCUUUGUCUCUCACCUCCUCAAGAUGAGUUAUUUUCAACUUGCCACACAGUUGAUUUAACCAUUCUAAUUCUUGAAUGCUGCCUCCCCU